rnacentral:tRNA from 1 species
GGGCGGUUAGCUCAGUGGUAGAGCGUCUCGUUUACACCGAGAGGGUCAGCAGUUCGAGUCUGUUAUCGCCCA